UGGAAAAAUUUUUCUACCCCUAAAAUGGUACACUGACCGAAAUUGUUUUGGCGACGGGGGGGAGGGGGUCACGGAAAAAAAUUUAGCCCCCCCCAAACUGAAAUCCGUUCCGCCGCCCCUGCUCGCCAACAAUAAUGCUUGUGGUUGUUCUAUGCUUUGCAACCAAAAAUACAAGGCCAGCAUAUGCUCAUAUUGCGCACUGAC